UACAGAGGGUGCAAGCGUUAAUCGGAAUUACUGGGCGUAAAGGGCGCGGUAGGUGGUUAGUUGUGUGGAGAUGUGAAAUCCCUGGGCUCAACCUGGGAACUGCGUCUUAAACUGGGCUAGCUUGAGUACAUGAGAGGGUAGUGGGAAUUUCCGGUGGUAGCGGUGAAAUGCGUAGAUAUCGGAAGGAACACCAGUGGCGAAGGCGGACUGACCUGGCAUGAUACUGACACUGAGGCGCGAGAGCGUGGGGAGCAAACAGG
rnacentral:rRNA from 1 species